rnacentral:rRNA from 1 species
AUUGAACGCUGGCGGCAUGCCUUACACAUGCAAGUCGAACGGUAACAGGUCUUCGGAUGCUGACGAGUGGCGAACGGGUGAGUAAUACAUCGGAACGUGCCUAGUAGUGGGGGAUAACUACUCGAAAGAGUGGCUAAUACCGCAUUAGAUCUCCGGAUGAAAGCAGGGGAUUGCAAGACGCUGUGCUCCUAGAGCCGGACGAGGCAGAGUAGGUAGUUGGUGGGAUAAAAGCUUACCAAGCCGACGAUCGUUAGCUGGUCUGAGAGGACGAUCAGCCACACUGGGACUGAGACCCGGCCCAGAAUCCUACGUGAGGCAGCAGUGGGGAAUUUUGGACAAUGGGCGCAAGCCUGAUCCAGCAAUGCCGCGUGCAGGAUGAAGGCGUUCGGGUUGUAAACUGCUUUUGUACGGAACGAAAAGCCCCGGGUUAAUACCCUGGGGUCAUGACGGUACCGUAAGAAUAAGCACCGGCUAACUACGUGCCAGCCGCCGCCGUAA